rnacentral:rRNA from 1 species
AGCUGAGUUUGAUCCUGGCUCAGGACGAACGCUGGCGGCGUGCUUAACACAUGCAAGUCGAGCGGUGAUGUCAGAGCUUGCUCUGGCGGAUCAGUGGCGAACGGGUGAGUAACACGUGAGUAACCUGCCCCCGACUCUGGGAUAACUGCUAGAAAUGGUAGCUAAUACCGGAUAUGACGACUGGCCGCAUGGUCUGGUCGUGGAAAGAACUUCGGUUGGGGAUGGACUCGCGGCCUAUCAGGUUGUUGGUGAGGUAAUGGCUCACCAAGCCUACGACGGGUAGCCGGCCUGAGAGGGUGACCGGCACACGUGGGACUGAGACACGGGCCCAGACUCCGUACGGGGAGGCAGCAGUGGGGGAA